rnacentral:rRNA from 1 species
CUACGGGGUGCAGCAGUGAGGAAUAUUGCACAAUGGGGGGAACCCUGAUGCAGCAACGUCGCGUGGAGGAUGACGCAUUUCGGUGUGUAAACUCCUUUUAUAUGUCAAGAAAAUGACGGUAGCAUAUGAAUAAGCACCGGCUAACUCCGUGCCAGCAGCCGCGGUAAUACGGAGGGUGCAAGCGUUACUCGGAAUCACUGGGCGUAAAGGACGCGUAGGCGGGUUGGAAAGUCAGGUGUGAAAUCCUACAGCUUAACUGUAGAACUGCACUUGAAACUUCUAAUCUAGAGUAUGGGAGGGGGAGAUGGAAUUAGUGGUGUAGGGGUAAUAUCCGUAGAUAUCACUAGGAAUACCUAAAGCGAAGGCGAUCUCCUGGAACAUUACUGACGCUAAGGCGUGAAAGCGUGGGGAGCAAACAGGAUUAGAUACCCUCGUAGUC